UCGCUCAUGCCUCUCCUCACAUCAACGAAAGAGCCUUUCGAAUUUUACUAAAGACUACCGUGGGGAGGUGCAUUCAAUGGGCCUAUAGGGGAAUUUUUGAAAGGCUGCUACCGUUUUGUAGUAG